ACGACAGAAUCCCUCUUACAUUCUCUGACAACUUUUUAAAUCCUCACGCUUCCCUCAGUGGAAUUUUUGGUUUUAACACUUUCAGCAACUACCUGGAAUGUGUAUCACUGUGCUUUCCCACCUCUGUGGAACCUCUUCAUUCGGUCUGAGGAACUUGUUUCCGAAGAGGCGGCACCCCUCCGUGCGCAGGUCUCGCGAGAAGGCGACCAACUCUCGCGUUAUUUCUUUGUUUUCCAGAAUCCUUAGCGCGAAGUGGAAAAAUACUCAUUUACCUCAGCUUCUGUUGAUUAUCGCAGUUUUCAGGACGGCUUUGCUGGAUCUCUGAGGGAAAUGGCGGCCCCGGAGCAGCCGCUGCCCAUGUCGAGAGGAUGCCAGAGCUCUGCUUCGCUUUCUCCGCCGCGGGGCGACCGAACCCUCUUAGUGAGGCACCUGCCAGCCGAGCUGACUGCUGAGGAGAAAGAGGACUUGCUGAAGUACUUCGGGGCGCAGUCGGUGCGCGUCCUGUCCGACAAGGGGCGACUGAAACAUACAGCUUUUGCUACUUUCCCUAAUGAAAAAGCAGCUAUAAAGGCAUUGACAAGACUGCAUCAGCUGAAACUUUUAGGUCAUACUUUAGUUGUUGAAUUUGCAAAAGAGCAAGAUCGAGUUCAUUCACCGUGUCCCUCUUCAGGCACUGAAAAAAAGAAAAGGUCUGAUGAUCCUGUGGAAGAUGAUAAAGAAAAGAAAGAACUUGGUUGUUUAACUGUAGAAAAUGGAAUUGCACCCAACCAUGGGCUGACUUUUCCUCUAAAUUCAUGCCUCAAGUAUAUGUACCCACCACCUUCAAGCACAAUCCUAGCAAACAUAGUAAAUGCUUUGGCAAGUGUGCCUAAGUUCUAUGUACAGGUGCUUCAUCUUAUGAAUAAAAUGAAUUUGCCCACACCUUUUGGACCAAUUACUGCACGGCCUCCCAUGUAUGAAGAUUAUAUGCCAUUACAUGCACCUCUUCCACCUGCAUCUCCUCAGCCACCAGAGGAACCUCCUUUGCCAGAUGAAGAUGAGGAAUUAUCUAGUAAAGAAUCAGAAUAUGAAAGCAGUGAUGAUGAAGACCGUCAGAGAAUGACCAAACUAAUGGAACUAGCAAAUCUUCAGCCCAAAAGACCAAAAACAGUAAAGCAGCGCCAUGUGAGAAAAAAGAGAAAAAUAAAGGAUAUGUUGAAUACACCAUCGUCUGCUUCACACAGCAGUUUGCAUCCAGUGCUGUUACCUUCGGAUGUUUUUGAUCAACCACAACCUGUAGGUAGUAAAAAAAUUGAAUUCCAUAUAUCUACCGACAUGCCAGCUGCAUUUAAGAAAGAUUUAGAAAAGGAACAAAAUUGUGAAGAACAAAAUUGUGAUGUACCUGCUACUGAAGUUGAUGCAUCCAGUACAGGAUUUGGAAAAAUCUUCCCAAAACCAAAUUUGAACACUGCAGAGGAGAUUAAAGAAGACUCUGAUGAGAUGCCAUCAGAAUGUAUUUCUAGAAGGGAAUUGGAAAAGGGAAGAAUUUCUAGAGAAGAAAUGGAAACACUUUCGGUUUUUAGAAGUUACGAACCUGGUGAACCAAACUGUAGAAUUUAUGUAAAGAAUUUAGCUAGACAUGUUCAAGAAAAGGACCUUAAAUUUAUUUUUGGAAGAUAUGUUGACUUUUCAUCAGAAACACAACGGAUAAUGUUUGAUAUACGCUUGAUGAAAGAAGGUCGCAUGAAAGGACAAGCUUUCAUUGGACUUCCAAAUGAAAAAGCAGCAGCAAAAGCAUUAAAGGAAGCUAAUGGAUAUGUUCUUUUUGGAAAACCUAUGGUGGUUUUUGCUCGAUCUGCUCGACCAAAACAAGAUUCUAAAGAUGGGAAAAGAAAAUGUUAAAAAUUAGUAAGGUUCCUUUUGAAUUUCAUAUUUUUCAAGUGCUUUCCAACUUUGAGGAGACGAAAUUGACCACCUGGACUAUGGAACUCACACUGGUCUCAGAUUUUGAAGAGAUCAAGACCCACUGUGCAGAUGCUAAUCAAACUUCUGUUUGUGUCUGGUUUGCUGACAUCCCUUUGGACAAAACAAGUUAUAAACCAGUUCCAUAGUCUAUGAGGGAAGAGAUCCCACAGAGCCAUUGGGUUCUGCUGGGCUCAGUAUGCCCCACAAACUGAAUCUGGACGGACAUCUAUUGUCCAUCUGUUUGAGUGGCGCUGGGUUGAUAUUGCUCUUGAGUGUGAGCGAUACUUAGCUCCCAAAGGCUUUGGAGGU